CCUACGGGAGGCAGCAGUCGAGAGGCUUCGGCAAUGGGGGAAACCCUGACCGAGCGACGCCGCGUGGGGGAUGAAGGCCCUUGGGUUGUAAACCCCUUUUGUUCGGGAAGAAGUGCGAUCAGGUGAACAAUCUGGUCGUUUGACGGUACCGGACGAAUAAGCUCCGGCUAACUCCGUGCCAGCAGCCGCGGUAAUACGGGGGGAGCAAGCGUUGUUCGGAAUCACUGGGCGUAAAGGGCGUGUAGGCGGUCAGGUAAGUAAGACGUGAAAUGCCUCGGCUCACCCGAGGAGCGGCGUCUUAUACUGCUUGGCUUGAGUAUGGGAGAGGUUGUGGGAAUUCCUGGUGUAGCGGUGAAAUGCGUAGAUAUCAGGAGGAACACCGGUGGCGAAGGCGCACAACUGGCCCAAUACUGACGCUGAUGCGCGAAAGCUAGGGGAGCAAACGGGAUUAGAUACCCCUGUAGUC
rnacentral:rRNA from 1 species